UCUGUUACCUGCCCUUACCGGACUCCCCUCCCUUCAUUUCUUCCCUCUCCUCUUUCAACCCGGUUCUCUCAACCUUUCAUUUUCCGCUUGUCUUUCUGCAACUUCAGGGACUCUUCCGAUCAGGUAAUCUCCUUUAUUACUCUUCAACGCUUCAGUUGCUAAGAUAUGCGCGAGACUAUUUGCUAAUCUUGGGACAUGCUCAAAACUGCAAUAUUUAGUAUUUAACAGUAGUUGAUGGAUGUCAUGAAUAUACGCACUAACCAUUGAUUUGUCUGGGCUUUUUGCUUUGCAUUUCCUUAUUAUUGAUAAAGAAUCUCCUUCAAUAACAACUUUUUUCCCACUUCAUGUAAACGCCGAUCUGGAGUGCUUUCCAACAUACGAGUGCCUCCGCCGCAAAGGCUGAUGGAACCUUCUGGCAAACCUCCGAGCAUGAUAGGAGAACUGUACCCUCUCUGUCUCUGGCCACUAUUCCAACAGCCGCUUUAUUUUGUCUACCUUCAAAUGCUGCUUCGAAAUUGAUCUUAACAACUUGGUCAGAUGGCUUUUUCCAUUCUUUAACAGAUAGCCCAUAAUGCAACGCAAAAUACCCGACACUGGGAUGUCGAGUUUUGUGAGAAAACCCAGGACAUUCACGGAAGAGAUGGUCCAUAGUUUCUGUUCCUGGGCCACAUCGGGGACAUACUGAUAUGUUUGUUAACCUUUUGAGUAGCAUAUUAGCACGUGUCGCUAGGAAAUUCCAUGAAAUCUUCCACACUGUAAUUUUUAUCUUCGAAAGAAGAUCAAGUGGCCAUCGUUUCCUGUAUAAGUCCUUAUAGUUGGUUUGUAAAGCAUAAGCUCUAGGAUCAUUAUCAGUACUUUGUAAUAGUUUAUAGGCGCUACGAACUGUGUACUCACCCGACGCAUCAACACUCCAGACUUGGAAAUCUUCGUGUGGUCUUUCUGCCAGCGGGAUACUGAGGAUCAUCUCGGCAACGUCCUUCGAAAAUGUAUACGUUAUCAAGUCCCUUUUCCAUGUUUUACUACUUGAAUCAAUUAACUCUGCAACUUUAAUAUCAUUCAA